AAUAGAUACCCCGGUAGUCCUAGCCGUAAACGAUACUCGCUAGGUGUCGGCCACGGUGCGACCGUUGUCGGUGCCGUAGGGAAGCCGUGAAGCGAGCCACCUGGGAAGUACGGCCGCAAGGCUGAGACUUAAAGGAAUUGGCGGGGAGCACCACAACGGGUGGAGCUUGCGGUUUAAUUGGAUUCAACGCCGGAAAUCUUACCGGGACCGACAGCAAUAUGAAGGCCAGGCUGAAGACUUUGCCGGAUUAGCUGAGAGGUGGUGCAUGGCCGUCGUCAGUUCGUACUGUGAAGCAUCCUGUUAAGUCAGGCAACGAGCGAGACCCACGCCCACAGUUGCCAGCGUACUCUCCGGAGUGACGGGUACACUGUGGGGACCGCCGCUGCUAAAGCGGAGGAAGGAAUGGGCAACGGUAGGUCAGUAUGCCCCGAAUAUCCCGGGGCUACACGCGAGCUACAAUGGUUGGUACAAUGGGUAUCUACCCCGAAAGGGGAUGGAAAUCUCCUAAAGGCCAAUCUUAGUUCGGAUUGAGGGCUGCAACUCGCCCUC
rnacentral:rRNA from 1 species